UUUUACGGUUGUGACAGACUAGGAAAAUGCUGCUACAGCUGGAUCACCUGCUUUGAACGCUCAUGGCAAUGGGAAACCUGUAAAGGAUGGUGGCUGAGGGCGGACAAAGUCAUGCCUUGUUGAUGCAUCCUCCACAGGCACACCAGCGACCACAAACCCACCCACUGUGGACUUGUACCUACCAAUUAAUCCUAAUGAACCGACAUAUUGUUUAUGCAA